UCGGAUGGGAGGCGGGGAUUUAAAUUGCAUCCUGCACAUCGCGCAGGUUGUACACUGGUUAAUCUGCGCAUGGUUUUGCUCAGAUCUCUUUUGGGCCCCUCCUUGGAAACUCCCGGCGGGAUGGGCCGGGGUUUCAGCGUCGAGGGCUUGGAGAAUGGGAGCAGGAAAGCGGAAGAGUGCCAGCACGUCAAUCGCACUCCCAUCCCCGCGGGAUCAGGUAGAAAAGACUUCUCGAGGUCUUUUUCUUCUUAUCCCGCCGGAAGUGGGCUGCGGGACUCUUCCACUCUUCCUUCGCCCAUCUUCCCCUCCAUCCCUUCACAUCCUGCUCUGAUCCCGGCCUAUCCGGCUGGAAGUUUCGGAACAUGGCCGAAAAUAAAAGCCCCAUGCCUGGAAUCUAUGUUUUGCUAGAAUCGUAAAAACAAAAUUUUGAAAUAUUUGUUGCUCCGUGGUCCUAAGAAGCAUUCAUUGUUGCCUUUCCAUUGAAGUUGUUUCUAACCUGCGCGUUGCCUCUACAUUUGUCGUAGAUAGAUGAUCCUACUUUUUUGUUUUUUUUGGAAGGAUGGUAUAUGUUUUGUUGGUAUUCAGUGUUAAAAUCUUUUCUUUUGCAGAUUUGCGAGGCUGCAACGUGCUUGGGAAGAUUUGAAGAGCUAUUUAAAUGCUAAAGGGCAUGAACGAUUUGAGGUUUAGGUCUGUACGAUGGUUGAAAGGGACUAUGCUGUGGAGAUGUGGAGACUUCUCGACCCAGAAACUCAUCUGAUCAGCUCAAGACAACUUCUGGAUCAUGGAGAAUUUGAGAUGAGCAUGAUGGAGGAGAUGACCUUUCUUGGACUUCAAAUCAAGCAAUCAAAGGAAGGCAUUUUCAUCAACCAAACCAAGUACCCAAAAGAGAUGCUCAAAAAAUUUGGUAUGGGAAUGCAAAGAAGAUCAGCACACCAAUGAGUUCCACAUGCAAACUUGACAAAGAUGAAAAUGGUAAAAGUGUAAAUGAAAAGCUCUACAGAGUUACAAGUUACAACAGUUGAUCUCUUCUGAUCAGGUUGCCACCGUCUCUUCCAAUAGUUCUCCAAGGAAGAGAUGAUGCAAGGGUUACAGAACCUACCAUAUUCUCAAUAUGAUAAACAUGUCAAUCAAAUCUUCUAACCAGCGGGUGAGAGACUACACCCUCUUGCUUUUCUCGCUGGAGUGGUUUGAAGGCCCAUAGGCAAUUUAUGUUUGUCCAACUAUCAUAGCUCGUGCAUCUUGCCUUAGUUCAAAGCAUUCUAAAUUCAACGGGGAACUUCUGCUUGGGAGUUCUAUAUUUUCAGAGUUUGUUUUCUUGAUUGGCCAAACAAUCUGCAACACAGUUUAUGUGGAAGCAUACUCAGCCAUGACGGACGUGCAUCUUGACGUAUGGAAUUUCCUGCACAGAUCAACCAUAAGAUCUAACAAUUUCAAGAGUCAGGCAGACACAAUUAUGUCUUCAACGACCCAAAAUAGAUAACCAAAUUAUUUUCUCCCAAGGACCCUUGCGACCACGGAAGCUCUUUUUUAUUGUCACUAUAUUUAAAAUAUGCUUAGUGAAGGGGGUAUUUGAUGUAACUAUCGUGUAAAGCACCUUGUUUCUUGAUGUUGAGCCUGAAAAAUGACUUCUGUAAUACAGAGAUUGUGUCAAUAAAUGAGGAUUAUUAUUUUUUCAAAC